rnacentral:rRNA from 1 species
GACGAACGCUGGCGGCGUGCCUAAUACAUGCAAGUAGAACGCUGAAGGAAGGAGCUUGCUCUUUCCGGAUGAGUUGCGAACGGGUGAGUAACGCGUAGGUAACCUGCCUGGUAGCGGGGGAUAACUAUUGGAAACGAUAGCUAAUACCGCAUAAUAUUGAUUAUUGCAUGAUAGUCAAUUAAAAGGUGCAAUUGCAUCACUACCAGAUGGACCUGCGUUGUAUUAGCUAGUUGGUGGGGUAACGGCUCACCAAGGCGACGAUACAUAGCCGACCUGAGAGGGUGAUCGGCCACACUGGGACUGAGACACGGCCCAGACUCCUACGGGAGGCAGCAGUAGGGAAUCUUCGGCAAUGGACGGAAGUCUGACCGAGCAACGCCGCGUGAGUGAAGAAGGUUUUCGGAUCGUAAAGCUCUGUUGUAAGAGAAGAACGAGUGUGAGAGUGGA